CGGCUCCUGCUUUUUUCGAAGCCUUUAGUUCCACUAGGGGUAGUAAGUAGAAAUUAGCGGGUGCCG
rnacentral:ncRNA from 1 species